rnacentral:rRNA from 1 species
AUUGAACGCUGGCGGCAUGCUUUACACAUGCAAGUCGAACGGUAACAGGUUAAGCUGACGAGUGGCGAACGGGUGAGUAAUGCAUCGGAACGUGCCCAGUCGUGGGGGAUAACGCAGCGAAAGUUGCGCUAAUACCGCAUACGAUCUGAGGAUGAAAGCGGGGGACCGUAAGGCCUCGCGCGAUCGGAGCGGCCGAUGUCAGAUUAGGUAGUUGGUGGGGUAAAGGCUCACCAAGCCAACGAUCUGUAGCUGGUCUGAGAGGACGACCAGCCACACUGGGACUGAGACACGGCCCAGACUCCUACGGGAGGCAGCAGUGGGGAAUUUUGGACAAUGGGCGAAAGCCUGAUCCAGCAAUGCCGCGUGCAGGAAGAAGGCCUUCGGGUUGUAAACUGCUUUUGUACGGAGCGAAAAGGUCUCCUCUAAUACAGGGGGCUCAUGACGGUACCGUAAGAAUAAGCACCGGCUAACUACGUGCCAGCAGCCGCGGUAA